rnacentral:rRNA from 1 species
UUCCAGACUCCUACGGGAGGCAGCAGUGGGGAAUAUUGCACAAUGGGGGGAACCCUGAUGCAGCGACGCCGCGUGAGCGAAGAAGUAUCUCGGUAUGUAAAGCUCUAUCAGCAGGGAAGAAAAUGACGGUACCUGACUAAGAAGCUCCGGCUAAAUACGUGCCAGCAGCCGCGGUAAUACGUAUGGAGCAAGCGUUAUCCGGAUUUACUGGGUGUAAAGGGAGCGCAGGCGGCGCGCCAAGUCUGGUGUGAAACCCCGGGGCUCAACCCCGGGACUGCAUUGGAAACUGGCGUGCUGGAGUGUCGGAGGGGCAGGCGGAAUUCCUGGUGUAGCGGUGAAAUGCGUAGAUAUCAGGAGGAACACCGGCGGCGAAGGCGGCCUGCUGGACCGCGACUGACGUUGAGGCUCGAAAGCGUGGGGAGCGAACAGGAUUAGAUACCCCGGUA